UUACGGUUGAUCCUGCCGGAGGCGACCGCUUUUGGAGUUCGAUUAAGCCAUGCGAGUAGAAAGAAAUUAGAUUCUUUGCGAACUGCUCAGUAACACGUGGAUAACCUGCCCUAUGCUCCGGAAUAACCUCGGGAAACUGAGAAUAAUACCGGAUAGAUCACAACGCCUGGAACGGUGUGUGGUUGAAAGAUUACGGCAUAGGAUGGGUCUGCGGCGUAUCAGGUUGUAGGGGGUGUAAAGGACCUCCUAGCCAUCGACGCGUACGGGUGUUGGGAGACAUAGCCCGGAGAUGGAUUCUGAGACACGAAUCCAGACCCUACGGGGUGCAGCAGGCGCGAAAACUUCACACUGCAGGAAACUGUGAUGAGGGAACUCCAAGUGCACGCACUUAGUGUGUGCUUUUUUCAACUAUUAAUCGGUUGAAGAAUAAGGGCUGGGAAAGACCGGUGCCAGCCGCCGCGGUAAUACCGGCAGCUCAAGUGGUCGUCGCUUUUAUUGGGCCUAAAACGUCCGUAGCCUGUUUGGUAAAUCUGUGGGUAAAUCAACCAGCUUAACUGGUUGAAUUCUGCAGAGACUGCCAGACUAGGGACCGGGAGAGGUGUGGGGUACUCUAGGGGUAGGGGUAAAAUCCUGUCAUCCUUAGAGGACCACCAGUUGCGAAGGCGCCACACUGGAACGGAUCCGACGGUCAGGGACGAAGCCUAGGGGCACGAACCGGAUUAGAUACCCGGGUAGUCCUAGGUGUAAACGCUGUGAACUUGGUGUCGGGAGUCCGCAAUGGGCCCCCGGUGCCGGAGUGAAGAUGUUAAGUUCACUGCCUGGGGAGUAUGGUCGCAAGGCUGAAACUUAAAGGAAUUGGCGGGGGAGCACUGCAACGGGAGGAGCGUGCGGUUUAAUUGGAUCAACGCCGGA
rnacentral:rRNA from 1 species